UACGUAGGGGGCUAGCGUUGUCCGGAAUCAUUGGGCGUAAAGCGCGUGUAGGCGGUUCGGUAAGUCCGCUGUGAAAGUCGGGGGCUCAACCCUCGAAAGCCGGUGGAUACUGUCGGGCUAGAGUACGGAAGAGGCGAGUGGAAUUCCUGGUGUAGCGGUGAAAUGCGCAGAUAUCAGGAGGAACACCGGUGGCGAAGGCGGGUCUCUGGGCCGAUACUGACGCUGAGGAGCGAAAGCGUGGGGAGCGAACAGG
rnacentral:rRNA from 1 species